rnacentral:rRNA from 1 species
CCUACGGGUGACAGCAGUGAGGAAUAUUGGUCAAUGGACGCAAGUCUGAACCAGCCAUGCCGCGUGCAGGAAGACGGCUCUAUGAGUUGUAAACUGCUUUUGUACGAGGGUAAACGCAGAUACGCGUAUCUGUCUGAAAGUAUUGUACGAAUAAGGAUCGGCUAACUCCGUGCCAGCAGCCGCGGUAAUACGGAGGAUUCAAGCGUUAUCCGGAUUUAUUGGGUUUAAAGGGAGCGUAGGCGGUCGGAUAAGUUAGAGGUGAAAUCCCGCGGCUCAACUUCGGAAUUGCCUCUGAUACUGUUCGGCUAGAGAGUAGUUGCGGUAGGCGGAAUGUAUGGUGUAGCGGUGAAAUGCUUAGAGAUCAUACAGAACACCGAUUGCGAAGGCAGCUUACCAAGCUACUACUGACGUUGAGGCACGAAAGCGUGGGUAGCAAACAGGAUUAGAUACCCCUGUAGUC